rnacentral:rRNA from 1 species
GUGCCAGCCGCCGCGGUAAUACGGAGGGCGCAAGCGUUGUUCGGAAUCACUGGGCGUAAAGCGCGUGUAGGCGGCUUGGUAAGUCGGGUGUGAAAGCCCGGGGCUCAACCCCGGAACUGCACUCGAAACUGCCUCGCUCGAGUCCCGGAGAGGGUGGUGGAAUUCCCGGUGUAGAGGUGAAAUUCGUAGAUAUCGGGAGGAACACCAGUGGCGAAGGCGGCCACCUGGACGGUGACUGACGCUGAGACGCGAAAGCGUGGGGAGCAAACAGGAUUAGAUACCCUCGUAGUCC